rnacentral:sRNA from 13 species
GCUUUUAGUCUCUAUCGUGUGGGAUAAUUAAAACUUAUUGAUUAAAAAAAAAGGAAAUUAAAUACACUUUAAUCACGUAGAGCAUUAUCAAGGUGGAGAGUCUAGAGACAAAAUUAAACAAUGCGGAUCUCAAUUUUGUUUGUGUUGCUGUUGUUCAGUGUUGAUUUAAGCAUUUCCAGAAUCCGUCAGAUUCCACUCCCAGAUAAUCUUCUGGAGUGUAACAGCCGUCUGAAAGAUGUAAAUCCGUACAGCUUUAUUGGAAGUCUCUACAGCUGGUUGUGUGAAAACGCAAUUGUUGAUGCCUCUGGACUAAACGCUUCAAUAGGCGCUUAUAACAUAUCUCUCGAGGAGUUUUAUAAGAAAAUCUUCGAUGACCAUUCGACCAGACAACCUCGGCAAGCAC